GGGUUUUCCACACGUGUGCGUCAUUAGCUAUUAGGGUUUUCCAAAAAGAAAAUAGUAGUGUGUUUUCACGCCGUUUCUCUUCGUCUUCGUCUUCGUCUUCUAGCUUCGCAUUUGAAGAUAAUAAUAUGGGUUUCGCUGCGAUUUGGAACUCUCAUCCCAAGAAAUACGGGCCUGGUUCCCGCACCUGCCGUGUGUGCGGAAACUCCCAUGGGUUGAUCAGGAAGUAUGGUCUCAACUGCUGUAGACAGUGCUUCCGCAGCAACGCCAAGGAAAUCGGAUUCAUUAAGUACCGUUAAAAGAAGAUCCGGUGUUGUUUUAUGCACGAGUCGUUUGGGUUCUUGAGUUUUUGGAGACUUUUAUUAAUGGAUCUUAUUUAAUGUUUUUUAUUGAUUUCGAUAAAAAGGCUUUUGAGUAUUGCUCUCUUUAUCGAAUCGAGCUGCCUUAAUCUGUUUGUUUUAACCAGGAAGCACCAGUAAUUUUACAAAUAAAAAUUGAUUAUUUAAUAA